AAUCUACUCCCUCCGUUCGGAAAUACUUGUCCUAGGAAUGGUUGUAUCUAGACUUGUUUUUAGUUCUAGAUACAACCAUUUCUAAGACAAGUAUUUCCGAACUGAGGGAGUAGAAA
rfam:Triticum aestivum genome assembly, contig: Triticum_aestivum_CS42_TGACv1_scaffold_193640_3AL